GACGUAGGGCGCGAGCGUGGUCCGGAUUUAUUGGGCGUAAAGAGCUCGUAGGCGGUCUGUCACGUCGGCUGUGAAAACCCGAGGCUCAACCUCGGGCCUGCAGUCGAUACGGGCAAACUAGAGUACUGCAGGGGAGACUGGAAUUCCUGGUGUAGCGGUGAAAUGCGCAGAUAUCAGGAGGAACACCGGUGGCGAAGGCGGGUCUCUGGGCAGUAACUGACGCUGAGGAGCGAAAGCGUGGGGAGCGAACAGG
rnacentral:rRNA from 1 species